GGCAAACAAUAACGAGGAGCUUGGAACAACAGCGAUUGGAUGAGAGGGGGAGAGAGAGAGAGAAAGGGGAGAGAGAGACACAGAGAGAGGGGAGAGAGAAAGUGAGACAGAGAAAGACUACACAAAACCGCACAUCCAAACUGAACAACUUUAGUUUGGGAUAGCCUUUAGCAUUUAAUAUUGUCACCGAUAAAAGGCCUACAUUGUAGGCCCACAGUACAGUUUGUUUUGUUCAACGUACAGAGAAAGAAAGAAACAGAACGACGGACAGAAGGGCAGACAGAAAGAAGGACAGACAGAAUGCGCAAGACCGUCCGGGUAAAACAAACGUAUUCAAGUGCUGCGGGCGAUGACUGCAGGAUGGUGUCGGGGUGCGAGGAGUGGUGCGUGGAGUGGUGCGUGGAGUGCCAUCCGUCCGUGCAUCAGUGUUGACGGGGGACUCCGGCCGUCGUGUGCUGCGCACGGCGUGAGGACCAGAGAGACAGGCCGUGACUACAAAGCCGUCUCUGAACCACAGGCCUGUGCCAGCAUGAGAGUGGACCGUCCCCUCCCGCGAGCUAACGAGCUCUGGGUCUACCCAUGGGUCUACCUCAACCCGGCCCUAAUUCAACGUUUAGGGUUUUCUUUCCGUUUACAAGCAAUUUCAAAAGAGAAAAUGGAGAACACCCAAAGCAUCACUUCUGAAAUGAUAAACUGCUGUUAUGCAAGGAAACCGGGAACUUAAAUUAGUUCUGCCUCAUUUGGUCGCAUCCGGUAACUGUCAAUCACAAUUCUUUUUUGUAUGAAUAUAAAUAUUUUAGCUUUAUUUCUCCUGUG
ensembl:lncRNA